AUGAGAGCAGCCGGCGCGGCUCGUGGGGAUGCUGCCACCGGGCCGGGCCCCGGAGCACCGGCUCUGCCUGCUGUCCCGUGGGGACCGACCCCGGCGGGGACGGCUCGCGGCGUCCCAGCGGCGGGCGUCACGGCCGGGCGCGGCAGAACAAUGCGGCCGCCCUGGCUCGGCCCCGGGCAGCUCCGCGUCCCGCUGCGACGCGCGGCCGGGCCCCGCUCCUGCGCCCCCACAGCCCGCCCGGCCCUGACCCUGCGGCCACCGCGGGUGCCACCCGGCCUCCGGCGCAUGGUGAUGGAAAAUUUGAGGCGUUCCUUGCGCCUGUUUACGGCCCCAGCAGGCGGCACGGAGGGGAAGGGCAGUGCCCGCCGGCGCGCAGAGUUCUUGGCUCUUGGCGGAGGUUCUUUGGCAGGGCAGCGGCAGCUCUGCUGGCAGCCCCGGCGGCACCGUGGGCGCUGCGGGAUCCCAGGCCAGACGCGGACGGAGCCCCAAAGCCACCCGCGGGAGACAGCCCGGGCUGGACCCCACAGAGGGGACGGGGACGGCCUCGGGGUGGUGACACGAUGGCGCUCCCGUCCCCGGGGAGCGCUUCCGGAGAUUCAGCCCCGCUUCCUUCCCCGCGCCGGCCGGGCUCGCCCUGGGCUCCCCACCCUUGUCCGGGCUGGGUGGCUCCUGUCCCCGCAGUCCCCGUCCUGGCGGCGGCGGGCGGGUGGGGGCCACCGCUACUGCUGGGUGACGUUCCUGUCCUCGUGGCGCAUUCAUUCCCGGGGACGGGGACAGGGGGUGAGCUGGCACCGGCAGGGACGGGGACACCGCGGGGAGCGGCCGUCCCCGUGUCCCCAGCAGCCAGGGCUCCUGGAGGGCGCCGAGGCCGGUCGGGCGCUGUCCCCGCUGCCUGCCGAGGGGACACCGGGGCAGGGAGGGUCCCAGCACAGGACUGUUUGUCCCCGCCGUGUCGCUCCGGGAGCAGAUGGCGGCGGGGCUGCGGUGGCCCAGCCUCUCCCCAGCUGCCUUGGGGCUGACUUCAUCCCCGCUGGCGGUGACGCUCGGGCGCUGCCUUCCCUCCUGCCACCCUCGCUCGCCGGGCGCAGGCAGGACGUGGGGACAGCCACCGCCGCAUCUGCCGCUCCCUGUCCCCGUCCCCUGCACCGAGUGGCCUGCUCAGGGCAGCCUGGCUCCUGCUGGGCACACAGGCCCCCGCCCUGGGGACACCUCUGUGGGGACACCUCUGUGGGGACACCGCCUCCCUGGGGACACCGCUAUGGGGGGAC
rnacentral:lncRNA from 1 species